UUCUCAGUUGCCUGGACACAUUGAUUCAUUCCAUUCCUUCAAUUCAAAGUCAAAGUUUUAGAAGUUUCCUUGAGUCCUUUUGUUACNGAUUCCCCAAGGGGUGCAACGCCAACCGACCUUGAUCCUCUGAGAAGGGUUUGAGUGAGAGCGUACAUGUCGGGACCCGAAAUAUGGUGAACUAUGCCUGAGCAGGGCGAAGUAAGGGAAAACUCUGGUGGAGGCCCGCAGCGAUGCUGACGUGCAAAUAGUUCGUCUGACUUAGGUAUAGGGGCAAAAGAUUAAUCGAACCAUCUAGUAGCUGG
rnacentral:rRNA from 1 species